rnacentral:ncRNA from 22 species
CAAAGCAGAAGUGGUGAUUUGGCCGGCCGGCUUGCAGCCACGUUAAAGAAGUCGCUAAAGGGCCGUUCUGACGAUAUG